CACACACACUGCAUUCAUACACACACACUGCACUCAUACACACAUACACUGCAUUCAUACACACACACUGCACUCAUACACACACACUGCAUUCAUACACACAUACACUGCAUUCAUACACACACACUGCAUUCAUACACACACACUGCAUUCAUACUCACAUACACUGCACUCAUACACACACACUGCAUUCAUACACACACACUGCGCACUCAUAUACACACUGCAUUUAUACACACACUGCGCACUCAUACACACACACUGCAUUCAUCACAUACACACACUGUAAAUAAAUAUUCAAUUAAUAUAAUUUUUUUAGGAUCUAAUUUUAUUUAGAAAUUUACCAGUAGCUGCUGCAUUUCCCACCCUAGUCUUAUACUCGAG